rnacentral:misc_RNA from 1 species
GUGAAUCAUCGAAUUUUUGAACGCAAAUUGCACUCUCUUCGGAGAGUAUGCCUGUUUGAGGGUCAGCCUAAAAAAAAAAUCGACAUAGUCGCUGUUUCGCGGGGACAUUCGUCGGAAAUUGGGUCAUCUUAAACCUUUGGGUUUUAAGCGGCGUAAAAUUUUCCUUAGGUUUCUACGAACCUUUCUAAGUUUUACUUCUUAAGCGUGUAAGGUAAUGGAU